rnacentral:rRNA from 1 species
CCUACGGGUGGCAGCAGUGGGGAAUAUUGGACAAUGGGCGAAAGCCUGAUCCAGCCAUGCCGCGUGUGUGAAGAAGGCCUUCGGGUUGUAAAGCACUUUCAGUGGGGAAGAAAGCCUUGGGGCUAAUACCCUCGAGGAAGGACAUCACCCACAGAAGAAGCACCGGCUAACUCCGUGCCAGCAGCCGCGGUAAUACGGAGGGUGCGAGCGUUAAUCGGAAUUACUGGGCGUAAAGCGCGCGUAGGCGGUCUGAUAAGCCGGUUGUGAAAGCCCCGGGCUCAACCUGGGAACGGCAUCCGGAACUGUCAGGCUAGAGUGCAGGAGAGGAUGGUAGAAUUCCCGGUGUAGCGGUGAAAUGCGUAGAGAUCGGGAGGAAUACCAGUGGCGAAGGCGGCCUUCUGGACUGACACUGACGCUGAGGUGCGAAAGCGUGGGUAGCAAACAGGAUUAGAUACCUGGUAGUC